AUUGGGACUGAGACACGGCCCAAACUCCUACGGGAGGCAGCAGUAGGGAAUCUUCCACAAUGGACGCAAGUCUGAUGGAGCAACGCCGCGUGAGUGAAGAAGGCUUUCGGGUCGUAAAACUCUGUUGUUGGAGAAGAAUGGUCGGCAGAGUAACUGUUGUCGGCGUGACGGUAUCCAACCAGAAAGCCACGGCUAACUACGUGCCAGCAGCGCGGUAAUACGUAGGUGGCAAGCGUUAUCCGGAAUUAUUGGGCGUAAAGCGAGCGCAGGCGGUUUUUUAAGUCUGAUGUGAAAGCCCUCGGCUUAACCGAGGAAGCGCAUCGGAAACUGGGAAACUUGAGUGCAGAAGAGGACAGUGGAACUCCAUGUGUAGCGGUGAAAUGCGUAGAUAUAUGGAAGAACACCAGUGGCGAAGGCGGCUGUCUGGUCUGUAACUGACGCUGAGGCUCGAAAGCAUGGGUAGCGAACAGGAUUAGAUACCCUGGUAGUCCAUGCCGUAAACGAUGAAUGCUAGGUGUUGGAGGGUUCCGCCCUUCAGUGCCGCAGCUAACGCAUUAAGCAUUCCGCCUGGGGAGUACGACCGCAAGGUUGAAACUCAAAGGAAUUGACGGGGGCCCGCACAAGCGGUGGAGCAUGUGGUUUAAUUCGAAGCAACGCGAAGAACCUUACCAGGUCUUGACAUCUUUUGAUCACCUGAGAGAUCAGGUUUCCCCUUCGGGGGCAAAAUGACAGGUGGUGCAUGGUUGUCGUCAGCUCGUGUCGUGAGAUGUUGGGUUAAGUCCCGCAACGAGCGCAACCCUUAUGACUAGUUGCCAGCAUUUAGUUGGGCACUCUAGUAAGACUGCCGGUGACAAACCGGAGGAAGGUGGGGAUGACGUCAAAUCAUCAUGCCCCUUAUGACCUGGGCUAC
rnacentral:rRNA from 2 species